rnacentral:rRNA from 1 species
AGCGAACGCUGGCGGCAGGCCUAACACAUGCAAGUCGAACGAAGUCUUCGGACUUAGUGGCGGACGGGUGAGUAACACGUGGGAACGUGCCUUUAGGUUCGGAAUAACUCAGGGAAACUUGUGCUAAUACCGAAUGUGCCCUUCGGGGGAAAGAUUUAUCGCCUUUAGAGCGGCCCGCGUCUGAUUAGCUAGUUGGUGAGGUAAAGGCUCACCAAGGCGGCGAUCAGUAGAUGGUCUGAGAGGAUGAUCAGCCACAUUGGGAAUGAGACACGGCCCAAACUCCUACGGGAGGCAGCAGUGGGGAAUCUUGCGCAAUGGGCGAAAGCCUGACGCAGCCAUGCCGCGUGAAUGAUGAAGGUCUUAGGAUUGUAAAAUUCUUUCACCGGGGACGAUAAUGACGGUACCCGGAGAAGAAGCCCCGGCUAACUUCGUGCCAGCAGCCGCCGCAG